AGCAGCCGCGGUAAUUCCAGCUCCAAUAGCGUAUAUUAAAGUUGUUGCAGUUAAAAAGCUCGUAGUUGAAUUUCGGGAUCAAGGAAUCGGUCAUGCCUUGGUAUGUACUGGUUUUAUUGGUUCUCACCUUCUAAAGAACCAUAAUGUCAUUUAUUUGAUGUUAUGGGGAAUUAGGACUGUUACCUUGAAAAAAUUAGAGUGUUUAAAGCAAGCUUACGCUUGAAUACAUUAGCAUGGAAUAAUGAAAUAGGACAUCAGAUUCUAUUUUGUUGGUUUCUAGGAUCGAUGUAAUGAUUAAUAGGGAUAGUUGGGGGCAUUAGUAUUCAAUUGUCAGAGGUGAAAUUCUUGGAUUUAUUGAAGACUAACUACUGCGAAAGCAUUUGCCAAGGAUGUUUUCAUUAAUCAAGAACGAAAGUUAGGGGAUCGAAGACGAUCAGAUACCGUCGUAGUCUUAACCAUAAACUAUGCCGACUAGGGAUCGGAUGAUGUUAAUUUUUUAAUGACUCAUUCGGCACCUUAA
rnacentral:rRNA from 1 species